rnacentral:rRNA from 1 species
GACGAACGCUGGCGGCGUGCUUAACACAUGCAAGUCGAACGCUGAAGCACCAGCUUGCUGGUGUGGAUGAGUGGCGAACGGGUGAGUAAUACGUGAGUAACCUGCCCUUGACUCUGGGAUAAGCCCGGGAAACUGGGUCUAAUACUGGAUGCUACAUGUCACCGCAUGGUGGUGUGUGGAAAGGGUUUACUGGUCUUGGAUGGGCUCACGGCCUAUCAGCUUGUUGGUGAGGUAAUGGCUCACCAAGGCGACGACGGGUAGCCGGCCUGAGAGGGUGAGCGGCCACACUGGGACUGAGACACGGCACAGACUCCUACGGGAGGCAGCAGUGGGGAAUAUUGCACAAUGGGCGAAAGCCUGCUGCAGCGACGCUGCGUGAGGGAUGACGGCCUUCGGGUUGUAAACCUCUUUCAGCAGGGAAGAAGCCACAAGUGACGGUACCUGCAGAAGAAGCGCCGGCUAACUACGUGCCAGCAGCCGCCGCAG